UACGUAGGCAGCAAGCGUUGUUCGGAAUUACUGGGCGUAAAGAGUGUGUAGGCGGUGCUCUAAGUCUGUUGUGAAAUCUCCCGGCUUAACUGGGAGGGUGCGGCGGAAACUGGAGUGCUAGAGGAUGGGAGAGGUAAGCGGAAUUCCUGGUGUAGCGGUGAAAUGCGUAGAUAUCAGGAGGAGCACCUGUGGUGUAGACAGCUUACUGGACCAUUUCUGACGCUGAGACACGAAAGCGUGGGUAGCAAACAGG
rnacentral:rRNA from 1 species